CUCUCCAGCCUGCAGAAAGAGAAAUAUGCAAAUCUACCUGAAUAUGCACAUUCGCAAUCCUUGCUAUUCAGGUAGUGCAUAUAGCGGUUGCUAGAUCCUUGCAACCAAUAGGUGGCGCUCUACUGGUUCCACAGCCAAAUCCACCUAGUUGAUUGCAAAUUUUAGCAAUACAUGAGAGCACACUAACAUUUAACACUAAACAAUUACAUUAUAUACAUCCUGCACCCACAAUGAGUACAGGGUGACUUAAACAUGAG